UACGGAGGGUGCAAGCGUUGUUCGGAAUUAUUGGGCGUAAAGGGCAGGUAGGUGGUCUUGAAAGUCUGCUGUGAAAUCCCCCGAGCUUAACUUGGGAAGUGCGGCAGAUACUCCAAGACUAGAGUACUGGAGGGGUUCGUGGAAUUCCCGGUGUAGCAGUGAAAUGCGUAGAGAUGUGGAGGAACACCGAUGGCGAAGGCAGCCCCCUGGGUCAAGAUUGACGCUCAUGCACGAAAGCGUGGGGAGCAAACAGG
rnacentral:rRNA from 1 species